CUAAUUUCAAGGCAUUGCAAAGUGGUGAAUUUGCUGUGGUUGGAAAGAUGUUGGCAACUAUGAUUGUACAGGGAGGAGAGUUACCGAGCUAUUGAGUCCUGCCUUUGCACCUCAGGGCAACCAAAGAAGGAUACCUGAGGAAGUCAUUAUGGCAAAGUUCAUUGCAUUUUUGAAAUCAAUUGAAGAUGGUACUUUGCAAGAAAGUUUGGAGGAUUGUGAUGUGGAACUCACUGACCAAGAAAAAAAACUUUAUUCCGCAAUUGACACCAAGCCAUGUGCUGUUGUUUGCCACUGGGGCUGCUAGCAUACCAUCUAUAGGCUUUGACCCAAAGCCUGUAAUUAAUUUUGUGCAUGAUAGUGAAAAAGCAAUCCCUUGUGCGCAGACAUGCACAAAUACAUUGAAUCUAUUUGUAAAUAGUAGAACCAAGGAUGGUAAUUUGUCACAUUACCUUCUAACAGCAUUGAUGAAUGGUGGCAUCUUUAGUAAAUUGUAAAAUACAUGCUUUUCUUACACUAUGACAUUAAAUUUUUUCUAUUUAAAUUUUAA